GGGCGAUUAGCUCAGCGGGAGAGCACUACCUUCACACGGUAGGGGUCACUGGUUCAAUCCCAGUAUCGCCCACCA
rnacentral:tRNA from 1 species